rnacentral:rRNA from 1 species
UCGAGGAUCUUUCGCAAUGGGCGCAAGCCUGACGGAGCGACACCGUGUGAGCGAAGAAGGCCUUCGGGUUGUAAAGCUCUUUCGCCUGGGAAUAAGGAAGACCGAUGAAUAAGCGGUCGACUUGAAGGUACCAGGUAAAGAAGUACUGGCUAACUCCGUGCCAGCAGCUGCGGUAAUACGGAGGGUACAAGCAUUAAUCGGAAUUACUGGGCGUAAAGGGUGCGUAGGCGGAAAAGGAAGUCAGAUGUGAAAUACCGGGGCUCAACUUCGGUGCUGCAUCUGAGACUCCUAUUCUAGAGGGUCAGCGGAGAAAAUGGAAUUCCAUGUGUAGCGGUGAAAUGCGUAGAUAUGUGGAGGAACACCAGUGGCGAAAGCGGUUUUCUAGCUGAUUACUGACGCUGAGGCACGAAAGCAAGGGGAGCAAACAGGAUUAGAUACCCCCGUAGUCC